rnacentral:lncRNA from 1 species
GUCGCGCACCCAAGAACCGGCCCUGGCCUCGACGAUGCGGGCGACGUCGAUACGCGCCUGGAUGCCGGCAGCCUCAAAGGCGUCCAUGCACAAAAGUGGCGCGGCAGUCGCCAAGUAGAGUGGGUGCGGAUGCCGCGUCGGCCGUCGCCCAUGCACGAUCGACCGCGAGCAGGCGGUUACAAUGCCGUCACGCGACAGAAACCGCCACUGUUGGGGCAUGGGGCAACCGUGAGACAGCGCCCAUAUGAUGCAGAUGGGAGUGCACAGUCGCGUGCCGUCGUCGUUGAGGGAUCGUCUGGGGUGCCAAGGUAUGCCAGCGAGACGCUGGCGCGCGAGCGUCUCGACGGGCGGACAACCAUCGCCACGGCAACAGAUGUCGAAAGGGGGACGAGGGGCAGCAGCAGACGGCGGAUUGGCGGCGAGCCACGACGCCACGCCAGAGGCACCUUUUCUGACCGCAUCCGACCACAUGCGCCUGUAGAGGGCGUUGUUGUUGAUCCAUCCGCGACCAUGAGCCUGGCGGACCAAGUCGAGACGGUCCGCUUUGGAUGCGCGGACCAGGGCCGGGGCGUCAAGCGGCGCGCACCCGAGCACGUCCACGGCAUAGUCAACGAUGGCGGGCGACUUUGGAAGUGCACCCAAAAGUUGGCCGCCCAUACGCAGCAGGUCGAUCGGCACGACGAGGCCCUUGGCGCGCAUCCACUCCAACGACGAGGGCGAGGGCGCGAGCGCCGCAUGGAGGGCCAAAAGGCGGGGUUCGCCUGGGUGCCGCUGCUGUUGGAUCAUCCGCGGGUACUUGCCGUCGAGCCAAUCGAGUACAGCGCUGUGGCCGCCUCGGAGCGCGGCCUCAAACACUUUGAGGGAGUUGGACGACUCGGGCCACGUCGCGUCGAUCCAGUUCAAUGCGUCGAUUGCGCCGGCACGCGCGGCGCCUUUGGAUAAGGGGGUCAUUUUGGGAUGCUCGCCGUCGGGGCGAUACGGCGUAUCGAAUGUGCUUUCAUCGGUGGCGUGGCCGCCGGCGUGGGCCCACUGCAAAAGGUCCAGGCGUCCCGCGGUCGCCGCGGCCCGCCAGAUCGCCCAACGGCUGUGCCACGGUCUCUCCAGCAAGUCCUCUUUCAGGAAACGGGUAACGAGAUCAAUGUCGCCCGACCGCGCCAAUAGUGGCAGGACGAGAUGCAGGGCGCGCGACCAACAACGGCGCUGUCGGUCGGUAAUCGGGCCACGGACGGCGAUCAAGGCAUCGAGGUCUGCGACGACGCUGCGCGCGUUGCCCUCUCGGAGGGCGCACGCCCAAGGCCACACGUCGGCCUCGCGGCCACCGCCACAGCGCGGACAGAAAAAGCAGGCGAUAUCGCGCGUGGGCGGCGACAAUCCGUGAGCGUCGUCGUCCUUGCCGUCGGGAUCGCAGUCGACCCAAGGGUGCUGCUGGCGGCGCAUCCACGCAGCCAGUUUCGCAUGACCUUGUGCGACGGCCGCUAUGAGAUGGCCGACGUGCAGGAAUCGCGCACCAGCACGCGCUUCGAGGAAACGGACGCGAGCCGCCCACCCGACCAACAGUCGCCCCGGCGCGACGCCGGCGGCGACAACGUUGGCGGCCGUCUCUUCGAUAAACUGGUCGCGCCAUCGGUCGGGAGCGGCCGAGAUGACGGCCUGCCACCGUUUGCACACGCGCGCCAUAAUGGGUGCCGCGGCUGUGCCCAAGUCGACAACGAGGAUGCGAUACAGCAGAUCGUCACAAAGAAUCGCGUUGAUGCUGCCGCCGUGCAUGUCUUUUUUCUGAUAGAUAGGCGUUGGCCUCGUCUCGAAAGCAUGCGCCCGAACAGUGUGAGGAACAAAAGAACAGACACAAAGACCGCGCGCGCGAGCAAAAAGAAAGGCCGCCUUGCGAUUGCGCACGCUCCAAGAAAAAAGACUAUUGGAUAAAAAAUAAGAAAAUAGAUAACAAAAAUCGCCUGA